rnacentral:rRNA from 1 species
UAUCUCUGUAGAGUCUGCAUAUCAAUAAGCGGAGGAAAAGAAACUAACAAGGAUUCCCUUAGUAACGGCGAGUGAAGCGGGAAGAGCUCAAAUUUGAAAUCUUCAAGGUUCUACCUUGACGAAUUGUAGUUUAAAGAAGUGUUUUCUGUUAGAUGAGUAGCAAAAGUUCCUUGGAAUGGGACAUCAUAGAGGGUGAGAAUCCCGUAUUUGGUUAUUCAUUCUAGCUUUGUGAUACACUUUCAAAGAGUCGGAUUGUUUGGGAAUGCAGUCCAAAAUGGGUGGUAAAUUUCAUCUAAAGCUAAAUAUUGGCGAGAGACCGAUAGCGAACAAGUACCGGUGAGGGAAAGAUGAAAAGAACUUUGAAAAGAGAGUUAAACAGUACGUGAAAUUGUCAAAAGGGAAGCGUUUGACACCAGUGUUGUUUUUUCCGAAAAUCAAUUACGAAUGGCUUGAUUCUGUGUUGUAUUGACCUUAUCAGCUUUCUUCACUUUUUUCGAGUCUUUCUUAAUGCACUUUUCGGUUAACAAGUCAACAUCAAUUUCUUUUGUUGUAAAAGAGUAUUCGGAAGGUGGCUUUCUUUUCGGAGAAAGUGUUUAUAGCCCUAUACUUCUACAAUCGGAGAGAUUGAGGUCUGCAGCGUAGAUCCUUCGGGGUUAGAUACACUUUGUGCUAAGUUGUAGCUUUUCAUAGACAACUUGUUGACUAUGUUUAGUCAUGCGGCUUACUCGCUUAGUGCUAUUUUACCUACGCUUAGGAUGUUGACGAGACUGUCGAUCUCG